UUUCCGUAGGUGAACCUGCCGAAGGAUCAUUAUAAAUGAAAAACGAAUAACUUCAGGGAAGAAGGGAACCUGCACGGUGACCUCCCCUGUCGGGCCACCCAAUACCUUCAAAAUGCCGCCGUCCUAGCGGUGGCAGACGAAAAAAAAACAAGAAAAACAAAAUAGAAACAGGCACGGUGGCCCGUUCACCUUCACACAACCCUCCGAGUACCGCUUCCAUGUUGCUUCCCCGCAAAUCCACCUCUUUGGUGAGCGCGGGGGAGGUCCGCAUCAAAUUCACCUGAAUGUCACAGCAGUCAGACAGCCAUUCAUGGAAACAAUAAAACUUUCAACAACGGAUCUCUUGGUUCCC
rnacentral:misc_RNA from 1 species